rnacentral:piRNA from 1 species
UAAUCUUCAAAAUCGUCGCCGGCU